rnacentral:rRNA from 1 species
UGGGGGAUAUUGGACAAUGGGGGCAACCCUGAUCCAGCGAUGCCGCGUGUGUGAAGAAGGCCUGAGGGUUGUAAAGCACUUUCAGUGGGGAGGAGAGGUUUUAGGUUAAGAGCUAGGAACUGAGACGUUACCCACAGAAGAAGCACCGGCUAACUCCGUGCCAGCAGCCGCGGUAAUACGGAGGGUGCGAGCGUUAAUCGGAAUUAUUGGGCGCAAAGGGUGCGUAGGUGGUUGGAUAAGUUAUCUGUGAAAACCCUGGGCUUAACCUGGGGGAGAGAGAUAAAACUGUUUGACUGGAGUAUGGGAGAGGGUAGUGGAAUUUCCGGUGUAGCGGUGAAAUGCGUAGAGAUCGGAAGGAACACCGGUGGCGAAGGCGGCUACCUGGACUAAUACUGACACUGAAGUACGAAAGCGUGGGGAGCAAACAGG